rnacentral:rRNA from 1 species
AACGAACGCUGGCGGCAUGCCUAACACAUGCAAGUCGAACGAGACCUUCGGGUCUAGUGGCGCACGGGUGCGUAACGCGUGGGAACCUGCCCUUAGGUUCGGAAUAACUCCCCGAAAGGGGUGCUAAUACCGGAUAAUGUCUUCGGACCAAAGAUUUAUCGCCUUUGGAUGGGCCCGCGUUGGAUUAGCUAGUUGGUAGGGUAAAAGCCUACCAAGGCGACGAUCCAUAGCUGGUCUGAGAGGAUGAUCAGCCACACUGGGACUGAGACACGGCCCAGACUCCUACGGGAGGCAACAGUGGGGAAUAUUGGACAAUGGGCGAAAGCCUGAUCCAGCAAUGCCGCGUGAGUGAUGAAGGCCUUAGGGUUGUAAAGCUCUUUUACCCGGGAUGAUAAUGACAGUACCGGGAGAAUAAGCUCCGGCUAACUCCGU